rnacentral:misc_RNA from 1 species
CAGUCUACAGGUUCGCCUGGGUAGUUACCGGCUCUGGAGAAAGCAGCGACGAAAAACCGGGGCCCCACUGGGACCCCGAAAGGACGGAUCGUAAGACGUUCGGCUACCCUGUCUGGCCGACGGGUACGGAGUCGGAGCCGUCCGC